UUGGACAGAAGUGAAAUGUGCUUCAUGGUGUCUCUCUAUCAUGGUGUCCCCAGUGGAUUUUUUUCAACUUUCUAAAAAUAAUAAUGAUACAAUUUGGUGUAAUGUGAAUUUUCUGCUCACGAGACCUAUAGGAGCUAAUGAGGAGGGGACUGAGGUUGAGGAUAUAAGUACACUGGGAGAGCUAUUUAGGGAAGUUUGCUCAGCAUAUAUGCAGCUCAGUGAUAUCAUUAUAAUGAACAUUAAAAUACUUGCCAGAGUCAGUCUAUCUUCUGUCCAAAAGACCACUGAUCGCUUCCAAGAGCGAUUUUUCUCUUCCCAGUGUAAAUACUAUUGUCUUGGUACAAGGCAGAUAUUUAUUGGUGACUUGUUUCUGCCUCCACUUCCCAUUUCUGAGCACAUUCAUAUCAUUUUUAUCUGAUCCACACUGUAGCUGCUGGAAAACGGCACAAUCCAUUUUCAUCUCACAUUAGCAGAGUGCAUUGUACUGACGUCAGAACGAUUAAAAAUAAACUUUGACUUAGCAAUAAAAAUUAUUGACAUAAUGCCCUAUAUCAUACGAGACAUCUAACACCUUUCUCAGACUAAAGCUUUGUCUUCCCUUAAAAAAAAGAGAAUUUUUUUAACUGUGGGAUAAGUAAGGUGCAUUUGCAAUUUAAGGCUAUAAAAAUGUAAUAGGGUAUUUUAAUACAAGGUAAUCAGGGCCAGGACAACCACAGGCAGCAUGUAACAUGUGGCUCUUGCAACAUAAUAAAAAGUGCCUAAUUUCCACUGCAAUCUCACAGUGAGAUAAUACUGCCAAUUUGCUAUCACACUAUAAAAAGCCACCAUAGCCAAAGUAUAUACAUGCAUUGUGCAAUAACCUCCAAGUUAACCAGUGUAGCAGAAGCAAAAGAGUUUUCUUACUUUUGAAUUUCUGUCAUGAAGAUUUUGUCCAAAUUAAAGCAACUUAUUGCUCACCCAACCAUUUUUGCAGCAUAAUAGAGGCAGAUGGAGAGAACAAAAUCUGGAUUUCUUGCUUUCAAGGAAUCACCACAGGAGCGAAUGAUGUGAUGGGGACUGUUCUGCAGUUUAAAUUCAAUCCAGUCUCUGUACCGAUGGAUCACAUUUACAUCUCAAGACCAUGCAGUAAGAUAAAAAGUGAGAGACCGUGUUUGGAAGUAUGUAAAAUGAGGCAUCUAUCCACACAGAGGAUAACAUCCUCAUCUACCAUGGUUAUUCCUAGAGCUCACGUGGAAACUUACCCUGUGGAGCUGAGAGUGCAGAAUUCAAAUCCUGCUGAGGACCCAUUGGAAAGAGGGAAAUUAGUAUGUGAUCAAGUGGUCAAAGCCUGUAUCCUAA